CCUGCUCUCAAGGUAAAGCAGGAGGUCCAGCCUCAGCCAGAGGAGGAGGAGACUGUGAUCUGUAUCAAAGAAGAGCCAGAGGAGGUGAUGGCCUCCCUGCUGGACUGCCAGGUGGAGCAGGGUUGUGCUCCGAAGUCACAGCCUCAGUUCUCGAUAGCAGAGCAGUUGAGACCUUCAGCACCUCAGAAAACUUGUGAACCCACUU